rnacentral:rRNA from 1 species
UACGUAGGGUGCAAGCGUUGUCCGGAAUUAUUGGGCGUAAAGAGCUCGUAGGCGGCUUGUCGCGUCGGCUGUGAAAACCUGGGGCUCAACCCCGGGCCUGCAUUCGAUACGGGCAGACUAGAGUUCGGUAGGGGAGUCUGGAAUUCCUGGUGUAGCGGUGGAAUGCGCAGAUAUCAGGAGGAACACCGGUGGCGAAGGCGGGACUCUGGGCCGAUACUGACGCUGAGGAGCGAAAGCGUGGGGAGCAAACAGG